ACGAGCGAGAUUUAUCCAGGGUAGCCAGUUCGUCUUUAUGUUUAGCCAGUAUUGUCGAUCCGAGCUGUGAACACGCAACCUUCAUUGGUUCGAUUGACAAACGAUUGAUCACGUUUUUAUAUGCACUCGGUACAGAAGGAAUGGAUAAUCACGGGAGGUCGAGACGCGGAUAAUGGAUGUUGUUAUGACUUGAGCGCACGGUAUUUUAAAGUUCGCUGCUAGUCAAGAAAUGACUGGGACAUGACCGAAGCAACUAUAUCCAACUACGGCCCUUCAAACAUACAGCGUCAAAAAAUGCAACAACAGUAUUGAACGACAGCCAAAGGAGGUCAUUGAUAUUUUAUGCACGAAUCUAUGACUAAGGAAAAACUAAAUCAUAAUCGUCUUUAAAUUAUCAAGUUACAAUAUUAAUAAAAUGCGCUUGAGGCGCUGAAUCAUUUAUGAUUAAUAUUCGUCAUAAAGUGAAGAAUCUUUAAUUAUGAUAUUAUCUACAAAAAUCAGUGUGCCAUAGAAUAAACAGCGCCAAGAACCUUGUUAGUUUAAUUAGCUCAGUCAUAACAGCUGACUGUGAGGAUCGAAUACCGGGUAAGGGUACAUUGCAGAAGGUACUGAUAUAUAAUAAACAACGAAAAGAACUUGAAAAUUAAAUAUCAAUCGGGAUUCAAUUUGUUUCCACUGGUCUACGAGAUUUUAAGAGCACUGACGGAAAUUAAGCGUAUGUUGAGAUCGUCGAGAAGCUACGAAUCGAGUGCAAGAAUAAACAGGCAGAAUUUUUUCGAACUUUA